GUCCGGCUACUAUGCUAUUAAUAGCACAAAACACUUGGUGUUACUAAGUUUUCCACCAUUAAAUCUACUCUUUUGAUCAUUUUCACCCGUUAGAUCAUACUAUUCAACCAACCACUCACUCAACCCUAGAGGGCCCAUAUUAUCCUAACCGCACAUCUUCUAAUCCAAUGGUCAAAAACUUGGUAGCAUCAAUGACUUGGUGCUAUUAAUAGUAUAUUAGCCUAGUUCUAUAUAUAUAUAUAUAUAUAUAUAUAUAUAUAUAUAUAUAUAGAGUCCGGCUACUGUACUCUUGUGAGUACUUAUAAGUUGUUUUUGAUGAUAGAGCUUCCGAAUCGAUGAUCAUACCGUUAAACAUUAUCUAGAAUAUUUAAAAUUUCUAGAAAUCAAAUUUUAUAAUUUUUCGAUAUUAUUUACAUUACGAUCAAAUGCUCACAAAAUUGACAAUUUUUAACGACCGGUAUCGGAUAUUUGCUAGUUUAACGGUGUAAAAGAAUCGGAAUAGUUUGAAUUUUUGAUAGAAAAUUCUAUUCACUACUUAGAUAAAGAUCAAUAACUCCAAUCUUAAAUUGAAGGAUCCGAUCAUCUAUUUUUAGAAUGUCGUUCGAUUUUAACCAUUCAAUUUAUAUCUAUUUGAUGGACUUUAUAAUAAUUUCGAAAAAUUACAAAAUUUAUUUUCUAAAGGUUUCAAAUAAUCUAAAUCAUGUUUAACGGUGUGAAUCGUCGAUUCAAAAACCCCAAUAUCAAAAAUAACUUAAAAAUAUAAAGGACUAUACUCAUAAGAGUAUAGUAGCCCUACUCUCUCUCUCUCUCUCUCUCUCUCUCUCUCUCUCUCUAUAUAUAUAUAUUGUAAGGCUAUUGUCUCAUUAAAAACACAUAUCUUUUGUGCUUUUAAAUUUUUAAUUAUUCAUUAAUUUCGAUGAGUGAUCAGGAUGAAAGAGAAAAAAGAUGAGUGAUUAGAAUGAAAGAGAAAAAAAAAUUAAAG
rnacentral:lncRNA from 1 species